GCGAGAGUGGCGGAACUGGCAGACGCGCGGGACUUAGGAUCCCGUGGGGCAACCCUUGAGGGUUCGAGUCCCUCCUCUCGCACCA
rnacentral:tRNA from 1 species